UGGGGAAUAUUGGACAAUGGGGGAAACCCUGAUCCAGCCAUGCCGCGUGAAUGAUGAAGGCCUUCGGGUUGUAAAGUUCUUUUGGUGGGGACGAUGAUGACGGUACCCACAGAAUAAGCUCCGGCUAACUUCGUGCCAGCAGCCGCGGUAAUACGAAGGGGGCUAGCGUUGUUCGGAAUUACUGGGCGUAAAGGGCGCGUAGGCGGUUUUGUAAGUUGGGUGUGAAAGCCCAGGGCUCAACCCUGGAACUGCACUCAAAACUAUUUUACUUGAAUUCGGUAGAGGAUGGUGGAAUUCCCAGUGUAGAGGUGAAAUUCGUAGAUAUUGGGAAGAAUAUCCGUGGCGAAGGCGGCCAUCUGGACCGACAUUGACGCUGAGGCGCGAAAGCGUGGGGAUCAAACAGG
rnacentral:rRNA from 1 species